GAUGCCUGAUACUAUAGACUCUGCCUUCUUCUAUGGCAGGGCUCAGGUGAGAGGAUGCCUGAUACUAUAGACUCUGCCUUCCUCUAUGGCAGGGCUCAGGUGAGAGGAUGCCUGAUACUAUAGACUCUGCCUUCCUCUAUGGCAGGGCUCAGGUGAGAGGAUGCCUGAUACUAUAGACUCUGCCUUCCUCUAUGGCAGGGCUCAGGUGAGAGGAUGCCUGAUACUAUAGACUCUGCCUUCCUCUAUGGCAGGGCUCAGGUGAGAGGAUGCCUGAUACUAUAGACUCUGCCUUCCUCUAUGGCAGGGCUCAGGUGAGAGGAUGCCUGAUACUAUAGACUCUGCCUUCCUCUAUGGCAGGGCUCAGGUGAGAGGAUGCCUGAUACUAUAGACUCUGCCUUCCUCUAUGGCAGGGCUCAGGUGAGAGGAUGCCUGAUACUAUAGACUCUGCCUUCCUCUAUGGCAGGGCUCAGGUGAGAGGAUGCCUGAUACUAUAGACUCUGCCUUCCUCUAUGGCAGGGCUCAGGUGAGAGGAUGCCUGAUACUAUAGACUGCCUUCUUCUAUGGCAGGGCUCAGGUGAGAGGAUGCCUGAUACUAUAGACUCUGCCUUCCUCUAUGGCAGGGCUCAGGUGAGACGAUGCCUGAUACUAUAGACUCUGCCUUCCUCUAUGGCAGGGCUCAGGUGAGAGGAUGCCUGAUACUAUAGACUCUGCCUUCCUCUAUGGCAGGGCUCAGGUGAGACGAUGCCUGAUACUAUAGACUCUGCCUUCCUCUAUGGCAGGGCUCAGGUGAGAGGAUGCCAGUUCUAAAGGUUUUACACAUCACAUAGAUCUGGAGCCAGUCCUAAAGGUUUUAUACAUCACAUAGAUCUGGAGCCAGACCUAAAGGUUUUACACAUCACAUAGAUCUGGAGCCAGUCCUAAAGGUUUUACACAUCACAUAGAUCUGGAGCCAGUCCUAAA